rnacentral:tRNA from 1 species
UGGCUCAGUGGUAGAGCGCUUGCCUUGCAUGCCAGAGGCCCUGGGUUCGAUCCCUCAG